UUACAGAUGACGAAGCACCUACUCUGAAUUGCCAAAAUGUAACUUCAACUACGCAAUGGGGACUAAAUUCAUCUUCAACUGUUGAUUUCAUGCCAAAUGCAACUGACAAUGUUGAUGCAGAUCCUAAUGUGACUUGUUCCCAUUCACCUGAACAUGAAUUCAUGAUUGGCAUUACAACUGUAAAUUGCUCGUCUACUGAUGAUGCCCGAAACACUGGCAGGUGCAUUCUUUCUGUUACAGUCACAGAUGACGAAGCACCUACUCUGAAUUGCCAAAAUGUAACUUCAACUACGGAUUGGGGACUAAAUUCAUCUUCAACUGUUGAUUUCAUGCCAAAUGCAACUGACAAUGUUGAUGCAGAUCCUAAUGUGACUUGUUCCCAUUCACCUGAACAUGAAUUCAUGAUUGGCAUUACAACUGUAAAUUGCUCGUCUACUGAUGAUGCCCGAAACACUGGCAGGUGCAUUCUUUCUGUUACAGUCACAGAUGACGAAGCACCUACUCUGAAUUGCCAAAAUGUAACUUCAACUACGGAUUGGGGACUAAAUUCAUCUUCAACUGUUGAUUUCAUGCCAAAUGCAACUGACAAUGUUGAUGCAGAUCCUAAUGUGACUUGUUCCCAUUCACCUGAACAUGAAUUCAUGAUUGGCAUUACAACUGUAAAUUGCUCGUCUA
rnacentral:lncRNA from 1 species